rnacentral:misc_RNA from 1 species
AAAGUCGUAACAAGGUUUCCGUAGGUGAACCUGCGGAAGGAUCAUUAAUGAAUAUAAAUAAGAAAUUUUAUUAUUUCUUUAUUUUUCUUUCAAACACUUGUGAACAAAACGCAUUUUGCUUUGGUCGAUUCAAAAGUCUGACUUUUGUUUUGGCCAGAGGUUUAAAAUACAAACUCUUUAUUUUUUAACUAAUAAGUCUGAAAAUGAAAAUUUUAAUAAAUCAAAACUUUCAACAACGGAUCUCUUGGUUCUC